UCAGUUGAUGUCCAGAUGGCAAGCAGAACAGACGUGUUUCUUGGAGCUGCCAAACAGUGAGUACAAACGUUUUAUAUUUUUCAGUUGUUUACUCAUAGAAGUCUGUGAAAGAUGAUAACAAGGGUUGAAUUGCACAGUACUUGUGUCUAAAAAUGCUGAUGUGUGACGGUUUACUGAAAAGGGUAAAUGCUAGCCAGUACUAACACUUGAGCAACCGUGGGAUGUCGAACUAACUGAUGAUGUACUAUGAUGGUGAACACUUACUAUGUGUAUCGAAAUGCUUUUGUUGAUAUUUAUUAUAGAUGAUUUGAUAUUGGUUAACAUUUGUUUGCAUGCUGUUAACAUUUCUAUUUCAUUUCAGGGAGCUGUGGUGAGUAUUGUAGUAUACAUUUGUUUCAAUAAUGUUUGAGUAGUACAAAAAUGUCUUUACUUUUGUAAUCGCCAGUUGUCUGUGAUAUGUAACGUAAACAAAAAACACAGCUAUGAAGCAUACAAUUGUUUCGAAAUUUUAUCAAUGAUUGUAUACUAUGCAUGUUUUGAUUUAGUUCGUUUCAGAUAUGACAUGACAUGAAGAGUUGACAGUCGAACAGAGCUGAGCAAUGCAGAAAGGUAAGUGUGUUUCAUUUUAGUAUGAACACUUGUAUUUUGUUUUUAUAUGGUAUGUUUUGUGCAUGCUAUGUUUCAGGUGUACUUGUAGUCAGCGACGAAGACGAUUCAAGAAGAGGAACAUUGCUGAGAAAGUGAAUGGGACUUGCAAACAGGGUAAGUGUUACAAUUGUUCUUUUGAUUUUUGCCAUGCAUACUUUGCUUUGCUCUGUUUCAGAUUUCACAUGCAGAAAUGGUCUCAUAGCAGUGCCAACAGUGAAUAAGGAUUUCAGCUGCUGUGAAACAACUCAACAGAAAGUAGGUAAGCAUUGAAUGAAUGCACUUGAGUUGUACAAUUUGAUGUGAUGCUUUUCUCUGUUUCAGAUUCAAGUUCCUGGUGUAGACAGAGAAAUGUGUUUGAAGAAGGAAUUCUACUACUGUGAUUCAACUCUACAGAAGCAAGGUAAGUAGAAACAAAAUUUUGGUUUAAUUUAACUCAUGUGUUUUGCACUGCAUGCUAUUUUUCAGGUCUCUCAUGCAGUGAUGGAAAAGAAGAAGAUUUCAAGAAAGAAUCACUGCUGCAACUCAGGCCUAUAACAAGGAAAGUGUUUACUAUAUUGUAUACAAGAUGUUUAUCUGUUUCACUCUGUUUCAGGUUUCAAUUGCAGAGAUGUUGCAGAGAUGUUUUGACAGCUUGUGGCAGAAAAGAAAUUCAGCAUCUGUUUCUCGACUCUAGCCACGAGGUAAGUCAAAACAAAUAUACUGGUUUGUAUGUAAUGUUGUUAUGCCCUUCUAUGUUUCAGACUUACAUUGCUGUGACUGUUCCACAGUGGGUCAAAAAAGAGACGAAUACAGGUUUCAAGAAGAAAAUUGGCUGUUAAAAACCUGCACAAAAUAUGAGGUAAGUAAACUACUCUUUUGGUUUGUUUUGUGCUUUGUUAUGCUUAACUAUUUUUCAGAUUGGAAUGGUGGGUCGUUACAGAGCAGACUUUUGGACUACUGAGAAGUUGAGAAACAGAGAAUGAUUCAAGAUCAGCUAGGUAAGUCUUGAUUAUUAUGCAUUGCUAAAUGUUUUUUUCAUUCCAGUAUGGCUGUGGUAAGUACACAAACUUUCUAUAAUUUAAUAUUGAACUGUUUUUAUGACCUGUAUUCUGCAUUGUAAAAUGUCUGUUUUUCAUUUCAGUAUCCUGUGGUAAGUACACUAACUUUGUAUAAUUUCAUAUUGAAAUGUUUUGAUGACUUGUAUCCUGCUAUGCAAUGCUUAAUAUAUUUUUCAUUUCAGUGUGGCUGUGGUAAGUACAAUUGCCUUCUUUAAUUUUCAUAUUGAACUGUUUUGAUGACUUUUAUUCUGCCAUACAAAAUGUGUUUUUUUUCAUUUCAGUUGCCUGUUGGUAAGUACAAUUUGCUUUCUUUAAUUGCAUAUUGAAAUAUGUUUUAUGACUUUUAUUCUGCUAUGCUUUUUUCAUUUCAGUUUGGCAGAUGUAAGUACACUUCAUUUAUGUAAAAACUGAAUAUGAUUGUUGUGCUAUACAAAAUGUGCUUUUUUCAAUUUCAGGUCAGCAAUGGUAAGUAGAUUGUGUUUCUUUAUGUAUAAUUUUGUAUACAUAUUGUUUUUUUCAUCAUAGCAUGUCUUUUAUAUUUAUGCUUUGUGUAAGUAAAAUGUUCAUAAAUCAUUCUUAUCUUCAAACUAAAAAUGUAUUGUGCUAUGCAAAAUGUCUGUAUGAUUUCAGUUGCCAGAGGUGAGUACCAUUACAGUUGAAAAGUUAGUUUUGUUUAGUUAAAGUUUUGGUUCACAGUUCUGUUUAUUAUUUGGCAAAAUUUACAUGUAUGCAUUGAGUCUUGAUUUCAGCUCGAUUGUGGACUGAAGAAGAUUGCCAGCAGAGGGAUUGGAUACAAAAUACAAACCCUACUACAAGACGAGUGUUUUCUACUACUAGACGUGUCAGGUUUACUUCCAGGCGAGCAGUGACAACAAGGCGCCUUUGUGGAAACAGCAAAACAAACAACUCUACUGCAAGACGAGCAGUAACAGCAAGGCGCCUGAACAUGCAACACAAUACAAAAAAUGCCAAUUUGCAAACCUUGAUGUGGACACCGAGUAGUCAAUACAUACGUGUGGCGUAUAGCUGCGACAAAACCGUGGGUCCAUCGCACCGAUAACUUGAACAUUGGCCCGUGUAUGGACAUCAGUGCAACUUUGUGAAUCCGUGUAUCUUUGUGAAUCCAUGUAACAUUGCGAAUGUGUGUCGAUCGAAAAAUGUGUACAUUCUGAACUGAAACGAACUCGGUGUUGCAAGUGGCAAGUGUUGACAGUGUGUAUGUUUAUGUUUAUGUUUUUACAUGAAAACUAAAGGAGAUUGUUCUCCUACCUUUUUUUUCCUUGUUUUAUUGCGCUGGCCAGCAAUAUUGAUGUAUUGAUGUAUGUGUUUGUGUUUAAACUAUGCAAUACCAAAAUCAAACAAAAAAUAAACAUUAACAGUCAUUAACUGUGUUUGGGCGGCCGAGGGGUUUAAGACUCCACAAGUGUGAAGCGCACUGAUAGCACUUGGGGGUGAACACCUCGGUAUUUCGGUGCUAAAAUGUUUUCACGGUGCUUAUCUUGACGCACUGUUAAGACUACCAACCAGUUAAUGAUUGCUUCAUCUUUAAACAAAAAGUAAGUCUCUACUUUGGCACAAGAGACUCCAAGUACCAAAUACCAACAAUUAAAAAGCAGACGUUUUUCAAAACUAUGAUCGCUGAGAUUGAUAGUCAGAUGGAGUCCUGCCCAUUUAGCUGUGUAGCGGUCUAGGGCGGGG